rnacentral:rRNA from 1 species
CCUACGGGUGGCUGCAGUGGGGAAUAUUGCACAAUGGGGGAAACCCUGAUGCAGCAACGCCGCGUGAAGGAAGACGGUUUUCGGAUUGUAAACUUCUGUUCUUAGUGAAGAAUAAUGACGGUAGCUAAGGAGCAAGCCACGGCUAACUACGUGCCAGCAGCCGCGGUAAUACGUAGGUGGCAAGCGUUGUCCGGAAUUACUGGGUGUAAAGGGAGCGUAGGCGGGAAGCCAAGUCAGCUGUGAAAACUACGGGCUUAACUUGUAGACUGCAGUUGAAACUGGUUUUCUUGAGUGAAGUAGAGGUUGGCGGAAUUCCGAGUGUAGCGGUGAAAUGCGUAGAUAUUCGGAGGAACACCGGUGGCGAAGGCGGCCAACUGGGCUUUAACUGACGCUGAGGCUCGAAAGUGUGGGGAGCAAACAGGAUUAGAUACCCUAGUAGU